ensembl:lncRNA
UAUUGAAUAGAAGGGCCACUGAGCUUGUUAGAGUGUAGGGACGGCAGGUAGACUAGUGGUCAGAGUGUAGGGACGGCAUGUAGCCUAGUGGUUAGAGUGUAGGGACGGCAGGCAGCCUAGUGGUUAGAGUGUAGGGGCGGCAGGCAGACUAGUGGUUAGAGUGUAGGGACGGCAGGUAGACUAGUGGUUAGAGUGUAGGGACGGCAGGUAGCCUAGUGGUUAGAGUGUAGGGGCGGCAGGCAGUCUAGUGGUUAGAGUGUAGGGACGGCAGGUAACCUAGUGGUUAGAGUGUAGGGACGGCAGGUAGCCUAGUGGUUAGAGUGUAGGGACGGCAGGUAGCCUAGUGGUUAGAGUGUAGGGGCGGCAGGUAGCCUAGUGGUUAGAGUGUAGGGACGGCAGGUAGCCUAGUGGUUAGAGUGUAGGGACGGCAGGUAACCUAGUGGUUAGAGUGUAGGGACGGCAGGUAGCCUAGUGGUUAGAGUGUAGGGACGGCAGGUAGCCUAGUGGUUAGAGUGUAGGGACGGCAGGUAACCUAGUGGUUAGAGUGUAGGGACGGCAGGUAGCCUAGUGGUUAGAGUGUAGGGACGGCAGGUAACCUAGUGGUUAGAGUGUAGGGACGGCAGGUAGCCUAGUGGUUAGAG